CUCAGAUUGAACGCUGGCGGCAUGCCUUACACAUGCAAGUCGAACGGCAGCGGACCUUCGGGUGCCGGCGAGUGGCGAACGGGUGAGUAAUAUAUCGGAACGUACCUUUCAGUGGGGAUAACGUAGCGAAAGUUACGCUAAUACCGCAUAUUCUGUGAGCAGGAAAGCAGGGGAUCGCAAGACCUUGCGCUGAUUGAGCGGCCGAUAUCAGAUUAGCUAGUUGGUGAGGUAAAGGCUCACCAAGGCGACGAUCUGUAGCGGGUCUGAGAGGAUGAUCCGCCACACUGGAACUGAGACACGGUCCAGACUCCUACGGGAGGCAGCAGUGGGGAAUUUUGGACAAUGGGCGCAAGCCUGAUCCAGCCAUGCCGCGUGAGUGAAGAAGGCCUUCGGGUUGUAAAGCUCUUUCGGCCGGGAAGAAAUCGCACAGGUUAAUACCCUGUGUGGAUGACGGUACCGGAAUAAGAAGCACCGGCUAACUACGUG
rnacentral:rRNA from 1 species